rnacentral:rRNA from 1 species
ACGGUCCUAAGGUAGCGAAAUUCCUUGUCGGGUAAGUUCCGACCUGCACGAAUGGCAUAACGAUGGCCACACUGUCUCCUCCCGAGACUCAGUGAAGUUGAAAUGUUUGUGAUGAUGCAAUCUACCCGCGGCUAGACGGGAAGACCCCAUGAACCUUUACUGCAGCUUUGCAUUGAACUGUGAACCGAUUUGUGUAGGAUAGGUGGGAGGCAGAGAAGAGGCCACGCCAGUGGCCUUGGAGCCGACCUUGAAAUACCACCCUGAUUUGUUUGCGGUUCUAACCACGGACAGUGAUCCUGUCUUGGGACCGUGCAUGGUAGGCAGUUUGACUGGGGCGGUCUCCUCCUAAAGGGUAACGGAGGAGUACGAAGGUACGCUAGGUACGGUCGGAAAUCGUGCUGAUAGUGCAAUGGCAAAAGCGUGCUUGACUGCGAGAGCAACAACUCGAGCAGAUGCGAAAGCAGGUCAUAGUGAUCCGGUGGCUCUGAAUGGAAGGGCCAUCGCUCAACGGAUAAAAGGUACUCUGGGGAUAACAGGCUGAUACCGCCCAAGAGUUCAUAUCGACGGCGGUGUUUGGCACCUCGAUGUCGGCUCAUCUCAUCCUGGGGCUGUAGUCGGUCCCAAGGGUAUGGCUGUUCGCCAUUUAAAGAGGUACGUGAGCUGGGUUUAAAACGUCGUGAGACAGUUUGGUCCCUAUCUGCCGUGGGCGUUGGAAGAUUGACGGGGGCUGCUCCUAGUACGAGAGGACCGGAGUGGACGCACCUCUGGUGUACCGGUUGUCACGCCAGUGGCAUUGCCGGGUAGCUAAGUGCGGAAGAGAUAACCGCUGAAAGCAUCUAAGCGGGAAACUUGCCUGAAGAUGAGUCUUCCCGGAGGUUGAACCUCCCUCAAGAGUCGUCCGAGACCAGGACGUCGAUAGGUCAGGUGUGUAAGCGCUGUAAGGCGUUGAGCUAACUGAUACUAAUUGCUCGUGAGGCUUGAUCCU